CCUUCUUCCGUUUAGACCAUGUCCUCCGACUGUAGGGACUACCCCACACCGGCAUCCACCGGGCAUGCCGCUGCGGGAUGGAAGCAACCGCACUGGAGACAAACUCCAUCGACGUUCUCCCACACAAAGUGCUGCCAUCGGGAGCCGUCGGGCCCAUCGAUUAGCACUCCCGACCAUAGCUGUCGAGAGAGGUCCACCCACACGCAUGCUAGCACGAAACUGAU
rnacentral:lncRNA from 1 species